rnacentral:rRNA from 2 species
AGCCUGAUCCAGCAAUGCCGCGUGUGUGAAGAAGGCCUUCGGGUUGUAAAGCACUUUUGUCCGGAAAGAAAACCUUUGCCCUAAUACGGUGGGGGGAUGACGGUACCGGAAGAAUAAGCACCGGCUAACUACGUGCCAGCAGCCGCGGUAAUACGUAGGGUGCAAGCGUUAAUCGGAAUUACUGGGCGUAAAGCGUGCGCAGGCGGUUCGCUAAGACAGAUGUGAAAUCCCCGGGCUCAACCUGGGAACUGCAUUUGUGACUGGCAGGCUAGAGUAUGGCAGAGGGGGGUAGAAUUCCACGUGUAGCAGUGAAAUGCGUAGAGAUGUGGAGGAAUACCGAUGGCGAAGGCAGCCCCCUGGGCCAAUACUGACGCUCAUGCACGAAAGCGUGGGGAGCAAACAGGAUUAGAUACCCUGGAAU